AUUGAACGCUGGCGGCAUGCUUUACACAUGCAAGUCGAACGGCAGCGCGGGCUUCGGCCUGGCGGCGAGUGGCGAACGGGUGAGUAAUGCAUCGGAACGUGCCCAGUAGUGGGGGAUAGCCCGGCGAAAGCCGGAUUAAUACCGCAUACGACCUGAGGGUGAAAGCGGGGGACCGAAAGGCCUCGCGCUAUUGGAGCGGCCGAUGUCGGAUUAGCUAGUUGGUGGGGUAAAGGCUUACCAAGGCGACGAUCCGUAGCUGGUCUGAGAGGACGACCAGCCACACUGGGACUGAGACACGGCCCAGACUCCUACGGGAGGCAGCAGUGGGGGAUUUUGGACAAUUGGGGCAACCCUGGUCCAGCCAUGCCGCGGGCGGGAAGAAGGCCUUCGGGUUGUAAACCGCUUUUGUUCGGGAAGAAAUCCUCUGGGCUAAUACCCCGGGGGGAUGACGGUACCGGAAGAAUAAGCACCGGCUAACUACGUG
rnacentral:rRNA from 1 species